rnacentral:rRNA from 1 species
CCUACGGGAGGCAGCAGUGGGGAAUAUUGGGCAAUGGGCGCAAGCCUGACCCAGCAACGCCGCGUGAAGGAAGAAGGCUUUCGGGUUGUAAACUUCUUUUAAGAGGGAAGAGCAGCAGACGGUACCUCUUGAAUAACCCACGGCUAACUACGUGCCAGCAGCCGCGGUAAUACGUAGGUGGCAAGCGUUGUCCGGAUUUACUGGGUGUAAAGGGCGUGUAGCCGGGCUGACGAGUCAGAUGUGAAAUUCCGGGAGUCAACCCCGGACCUGCGUUUUUAACUGUUGGUCGUGAGUAUCGGAGAAGCAGGCGGAAUUGCUAGUGUAGCGGUGGAAUGCGUAGAGAUUAGGGGGAACACGAGUGGCGAAGGCGGCCUGCUGGACGACAACUGACGGUGAGGCGCGAAAGCGUGGGGAGCAAACAGGAUUAGAUACCCGUGUAGUC